rnacentral:rRNA from 1 species
CAGCAGCCGCGGGAAUACAGAGGGUGCGAGCGUUAAUCGGAUUUACUGGGCGUAAAGCGUGCGUAGGUGGUGGUUUAAGUCCGUUGUGAAAGCCCUGGGCUCAACCUGGGAAUUGCAGUGGAUACUGGGUCACUAGAGUGUGGUAGAGGAUAGUGGAAUUUCCGGUGUAGCAGUGAAAUGCGUAGAGAUCGGAAGGAACAUCUGUGGCGAAGGCGACUAUCUGGGCCAACACUGACACUGAGGCACGAAAGCGUGGGGAGCAAACAGGAUUAGAUACCCGCGUAGUCCCUGUCUCUUAUAC